AGCAAACACAAGGUAACACAACCCAACAAUUAUCGUCGGAUAAUUGUUCGGAUCCGGGUUCUCGGAAGUGUCUAUUUCGACACCGAAACCCACCGUCGCUCACCCAUCAUCACCGAACCCAUAGUAUGAUGAUAGUGACCAGCCAACAAAGCUCAGCGACAAUUCACGAGACAACCAAACCACAUCGAAAGAAAUCCGAACCGAAACCACGUUCUUUCGGCGAAUUUCGCCGAAAAACGGACUGAAAUCGACUCUUCGAUUUCUAUGAAGACUAACGGAUCAU
rnacentral:lncRNA from 1 species